CUCUUCACACAAACCCUAGGGAGCUAUUAGAGCAGGGAAAGUUUAAGAAGAUAAGGUUUUCUUUGAAGGUGUAAGUUUUAAAAUGAGUUUAAAAACCAAGGAGCUACAUGGAGUGAGAGUGUCCUGACUGGGUAGAGAUGCAGAGCUGGAAGGGGACCACAUACACGGGGACCUACAGGAGGCGGAGCGUCAUGGGCUUGUCUCGGAUGGCAGAAGGAGGCUAACAUUGAAGAUAGAGGCCAUGUCUGCUGUCCUCCUCCAAGAAGGCUGCCUCCCGCCACUUCCCAGCCCGGAGUAGGGCAGGGAAGCAGCAGCCUGCCCCAGCCCAAGAGUGGAAAGAGUUUCAAGAAUUUGGAGUUCCCAGCACAAAUCACUACACAGGUGGGCACCCAAGUUCUCCCUAUAUCUCUCUCCACUGCAGGAAGCCUCGAACCAAAAGACAAGAGGAAGAAUUCAUACAGGACAGUGAACACCAUGGAACCCGUCUUAGUCUGUUCAGGCCGCUAUAACAGAAUAUCAUAGACUGAGUGGUUUAUAAACAACAGAAAUUUAUUUCUCACAGUUCCGGAGUCUGGGAAGUUCCAGAUCAAGGUCCAGCAGAUUUAGUGUCCAGUGAGAUGCCCCCCUCUGGUUCAUACACGGCUGUCUUCUCACUAUAACCUCACACCAUGGGGGCUCUUUUACAAGGGUGCUAAUCCCAUUCGUGAGGACUCCGCCCUCACCAUCUGAUCACCUCCCAAAAGUUCCACCUCCUAAUCCUAUCACUUUGGGGAUUAGGAUUUCAACAUAUGAUUUUUGGGGAGGCACAAACAUUCAGUCUACAGCAGAAUUCCAGCUAAGUCAACAAGAAGGCAACCCCUGAAGAUUCUUCUGCAACCCUGAGAUCAAAUAGGACCCAAACAGAGGUCACGAUUUCCUCUGAAGCUAUGCUCACAGGAAAUGAAAGACCAAGGAGGGGGUCGGCAGACAGACAGACACGAGGAAUCGCACUCAAUGAACCAUACACACUGGAGCAAUCUGAAAGGAACUUUAAAGAUUUCAAAUGCCAAAGAGAUAGAGGGAGGAAAAGAAUCUAAUAUGGCAAGAACAGAACAUUUUGAGGAAAAAACAAGCAGAUUUGAGAGGGAGUCAAAUGGAGUGGAUUGAAUUAUAACAUAUUGACUUGACCUGAAUUAAACACCAAACAGACCAAUUAUUAACUAAGCUUGGUUGUAAAUAUUGCCUAAGAAUAGGAAAAAAGUGAAGGAAAUAAAUACGAAUUUGCCAAUUAAAGAAUGUUUCAUUAUUCUAGAGUUAUUUAGAAAAAUUAUUUUUAAAAAUCAUUCUAAACUUUCUCUCUCAACAUCUACAGUUAUUUGUUUUACAGCGAUUUAUAUUGGGAGAAAAAGGCCAUGAUUUUACCCGCGUAAACACAUAGGUCCAGUGGUUUGAAUCGGGGAUCGUGGCUCCACGCUUACAAAGAGGACCCGAGUGGAAACAGGCAGCUUGGCAGACAGCAUAAGGUGACGCCGAUGCUGUUUGGUGAACCACAUUUUGAACAGCAAGGCCCUAAAGCUUCUUUCAACCAACCAUGCCCAGCUUAAAGGAGGCACUCAUUUAUUGAGUUAUGGAGAAAAGAAGAGAGAAAGAGGAGGAGGGAUGGUUGUGGAGGAAAGGAGAUGGAAGAGCAUUAUGAACACAACACCCAGGACUGCAAACUAACAUGAGCCAUAAUUGAAGGGCCAGAUUUCUUGAAAAACGCCUGUUACAUAGGCAAGAUGAGGCACCUGGUUCUAACAGGCAAAUAAAAUUAUUCUGUGAGAAUCAUAGAAUUGUUGUGUCUGUGUUCUUGCCAGUCACCCAGUGCAGCAUAAUGCAGGAGUCCCUGUCAGGUUUAUCAGAAGCGUGACUUUCAAAGUGGGGACCCACCGAGCUACAAAGUCAGGAGAGAUUUCCAAAAUUCAAUUUGAUAUCAUUUUAAUAUGCACAAUAGCUGUAUGGGCCCCCCCAAAAUUGGAAGUGCUACAGAGUUGUAUGUAAAAGACUUUUCUUGACAAACCUCGAGAGGCAGAGAAAGAGGGUGGCAGACUGCCUUGCGGAGAGAAUUAGAAGUUUGAGGGCUAAGUGACCGCCUGGCUCUGGAAAUCCACGAGGAAGCUGCAAGAAUCAGGUUCGGUAUGUCCCAUCAAGGUCACUAAAAAGAAUACAGUAAGCCUCCUGGCUAAGAUUUCCAGCCAUUAUGCAACCUCAGGCAAGCCAAGACAGUAACCCCAGAC
rnacentral:lncRNA from 1 species